rnacentral:lncRNA from 1 species
AUAUGUAUGAACAUGUAUAUAAGUCAAUUAAUUUAUCCAUCAGAUAAGUUUGCAAAACUAAUCGAAGGAAAAUAUGAAGUCUCAGAAAAUUAUUUCAGUACUUAUAUUUUUAACUCUGGUUUCUUCAUUUGUUCCAGAAACGGAUGCUUUCUUUUUUGGAGGCUAUUAUUGUAGUCUCUAUUCAGCAGGUCAAUGCACAAGCCCAGGACAAGUAUUUACAAUAAUAGUAAGUAAUUGGUUUUGGACAAAAACUAUAAAAUGCCAAUGCCCAGGAGUACCAGUGAUUACAACUACUGCUGCUCCAACAACAACUUAAUUUGUAAUAUUUUGUUGCUAAAUAGCUUAUAAAUUGUUUGCAGAUAUAUUUGUUUAUGAAUGAAAUAAAUUCAUUUUAA